rnacentral:rRNA from 1 species
UACGGAGGGAGCUAGCGUUGUUCGGAAUUACUGGGCGUAAAGCGCGCGUAGGCGGCUUUGUAAGUUAGAGGUGAAAGCCCGGGGCUCAACCCCGGAACUGCCUUUAAGACUGCAUCGCUUGAAUCCAGGAGAGGUGAGUGGAAUUCCGAGUGUAGAGGUGAAAAUUCGUAGAUAUUCGGGAAGAACACCAGUGGCGAAGGCGGCCUGCUGGGAUCGAGCUGACGCUGAGGCGCGACAGCGUGGGGGAGCAAACAGG